rnacentral:piRNA from 1 species
UGGUUAUCUUUGAGCAACUUUAAUGGUUAUC